CACCUCCACAGUGUUGAGAAGAUGAAAGGCACAGCUUAUUGAUAUUGUAUAUGCUAACGUUUGGAUGUGGGACAGAAAAGACAGCCUUUAACUGCUGGUAUGCAGUGCUGAAUCUGGGCUGCAUGAAGAGGUUUUCAUUUACGGAUGUUGGAUGUGUGCCCAGAUUGCCAUAGUAGAAUUCAGGAAAAAGCACAGUAAAGAGAAGAACCACAGAAUGGUUUGGGGAACAUCCACAUGAGGCAGAAGAACAAAUACAUCUGAAGACUGUUUCCAGAAAUGAAAGGACUAACCACUGGGGAACAGUUGUGAGCCCCCCAAAUCCCAACCUGGCCCUCUACUUGAAGGAAAAAAGUUACUAUUUCUUGGACCCAUUUUGCCAGCAAAGGAUGGGUGGAGAAAGAAGUACUGAAGUCUGCAUUUUCAAAUAAAAUACGAACAAGAAUAACACUUUAAGGAGGUCUAAAAACUGUAUAGGCCUUCAGAAAGAGGCCUUCUGAGAGCAUAUGGUUUUCUGUGACAAGCAGUCAUGAACAUAAUACUGGUGGAAAGCUUUGAGCUCAAAGCUGUUAGAAUUCAGGUAAUUAAUAUUAUAGAAUUUCUGGAAAGAGAGAUCUUUUUUAAUGGGGUACUAUAGAAGGCCCUAAGGUCAUUAGAAUAUUCUAGAAUAACUUGUUUGUCAUUUAUUUAUGUGUGCUUAUAUGUCUGUGGAGGGGCUUCCCUAUUUGCUCAAUGGUAAGAACCCACCUGCCAAAGGAGGAGACACAGUUUUGAUUCCUGGAUCGGGAAGAUCAUCUGGAGAAGGAAAUGUAAACACACUCCAGUGUUCUUGGCUGGGAAAUUCCAUGAACAGAAGAACCUGGCAGGCUAUAAUCCAUGGGAUUGCAAAGAGUCGGACACAAUUGAGUAACUAAACAAAAUGUACGUAGAGAUGCUAAAAGGGUGAUAGUAUAACACCAUGGACCUUGAAUAUUUCUGAAAUUUCAGAGAGUUCUGAGUCUGAUUGCCACUGUCAACUCAUUGUCCAAGCUGUUUUCAAGGAUUACCUUCUCAUGCCCUAUUGGCUAGGAGACUCUUAAAGACUGUUUCCAUGAAACAACACAUCUAAAUGCAAAGAAGAUAUGAAUUAUCAAAUCUGAAUCAGAUCUUUAAAUGAUACAGUCUCAUCAGAACUCUGAAUAGAUUCAUUCUUAUCCACUUGUGGCAUCCAAGAGAUUUUUGUGCACCUGGGAGACACAGCUUACAGCCCAUGGCAGAGGAUCUACACAGCCUGGGUAGGCGGCAGGGCGAUGGGGGGAGGCAGCCAUCUUUCCACAGCAAAGUCCUGGUUUUCUGCACAAGGAACUGUUCCUGCACUGGACUUUCAGAAGUAAAAAUAGUUAUUUACAGAUGAGAUAUUUGUAGUAAUUACUCCUAAGCAUGAGAAUUUCCUCAUAGGUAGUUAAUCAUAUUUAAUGUUUAUUAAAAUUAUGGAGAAAUACAUGGAAUUUUCAAAAUACAUGGUGGUCAUUUUAGUCAUUUACAUAUACGUGACACAAUACAAUCAAAAUAUUUGUAGGAAAAAUGUAUUUAAAUCUGAUUCUGACAGGAGGAAAUGCUGUUGGUUUAGUGUUUCCUGGGAUGAAAGGUUUUUUUUUUUUUUUUCAGAUUUUGCUUUCAAACUUGUAACUCACCUCUGUAUACCCACUGUUCUACUCACAAAAGUGGAAAUAUCUUUACCUGAAGAGGUUUUGAGUAGGUUAAAUAAAAUAACAGGUUAUUGCAGGUUUAUAGAAAAACAUAGUAUGCCCCCCACCUCUUACAUUUGAUUUAAACCUGGAUUCUGCUUCCUUUGAUUAAUUGAUUGCAUUUGUACCAGGAUAAAACAAUGCCAUUUAUUCUGGUAUGAGCCCUGAUUUUCCCUCCUAUGAAAAGUGAAUGGGUUAGCCACUGUCCCAAAUACCAGAGAAGUUAACACAGAUAUACUUUUAGAGGAAAUUGGAAAUGAAAUGUUACUGAAAGGGCUAAGUUCUCUUUCAGGAUGUAGUGGUGGGUUCCACAAAAUUUAUGAUUUGAAAAUCUAAGGAGAUGCUCAAUUAUAAUUACAUAAAACACAUUAUUUUUGAUAAAAGCACUCUGAAAUCUGCAGUUUUCUUCAUUGGCAUGCUUCCCUACGCUGUGCUGUACUGAACAUGUGCAGUACUAUUCUGAGUUUUCCGGAAGUGAAACAACUUUAUGGAAAUCAUAUGCAAAAUGUUUCUCAAGUUUUUUUGCAGUUUACUUUUUUAUGAGUCUGUUAAAAAUUUAAGAGAAGCCUUGUUGACAUUUUAUAUGCUUAUUUUUCUUUCAAAGGAAAAUUGGAGGAUUUUAAAAUUUUCAUAUCUAUGAGGAUAAAAGUUGAAAUAACAUCAUAAUUCUUAUCUUGUUCAAUUUGAUAUUUGGUUGUUUUAUUUUUUUAUGAGUUUUAUUCAUCUUGUAACCAGUCUUGUAUGUCUUAUAAAAAGAGGUUUAUUUUAGUUUUUUGGUUUUGAGGAAUUUGCCUAGAGCUAAAGUAUCUAGGCAGAAAACCUGUUCAAAAGAUCUAAAUUCUUAAAAUGCUACCUCUAAAAAAUGUUAAUAAAUAAAUAUUUUAAAUAUUGUCAUUUCAAUAUUUUAAGUACCUCAGCAAAUGAUUUUGGUAGAACUUUGUCCUCUGAGAAAACUAAAGAAAAGAACAUAUUGUUGUCUUGAAUAUAUCUGAAUGUCACAAUCACAUUGUUUCCCUCCAGUGUGUUUAUGAAUUUUUUUUAAUAAAAGGA